rnacentral:rRNA from 1 species
UACGUAGGGCGCGAGCGUUGUCCGGAAUUAUUGGGCGUAAAGAGCUCGUAGGCGGCCUGUUGCGUCCGCUGUGAAAUCCCAGGGCUCAACCCUGGGCCUGCAUUCGAUACGGGCAGACUAGAGUGUGGCAGGGGAGACUGGAAUUCCUGGUGUAGCGGUGAAAUGCGCAGAUAUCAGGAGGAACACCGGUGGCGAAGGCGGGUCUCUGGGCCAAUACUGACGCUGAGGAGCGAAAGCGUGGGGGGCGAACAGG